GUGUCUAUGCACAUGCGUGUUUGUAGACUCAGAAUGGGGCGUUUUCCGUGGUUUCGCAGCAGCGCCGUCAGGAUGUGUUCGUCAGAGAAGGAAUUUGGGAAUGUGUUCCUCAAACAAACGAGAGAGAGAAGACAGAAAAUAGAGAGGGAACAGGUGGCUGACCGCGGACAGAGAUGACAGGAGUUUGGCACUGAGGGCAUACGAGGCUCCAGCAUUCACCUCCUCUUUCUCUGGGACGCUGCAGAAUCGCUCAGCAGUGUGAACACCAGAAGGCUGCGUUCGUACUCUACAGCCAAGGCCAACUGGCAGGGUUUAGAGCACAGCAGUUCUGUUCAUUUGAGUCUAAAGAAAUAGCUGGUGCGUGCGAGCCACUAACUCUACAAGCUGCUCAGAGUGAGAUAAUGUUGUUGACGACAUUGUUGCUGCGGUUAGAUGGAGAAUAUACAUUAUUUCACCCUUUUUAAAGUGACAGGUAACUAGAAAUGUGAAAAGAGGUAAUUCAUGGUUAAAGACUGCACCUCCAGCCAUGUUUAAGAACCCGAGCUGCUGUGUUUAAGUUACGGCCUGUUUGUGUAGGUGUGUGUGUGUGUGUGUGUGUGUGUGUGUGUGUGUGUAAGCGUGAGUUCAUGUCUGUUUAGUCUGAAGUCAUGAUCUGGUUCUGAAGAGUUUAGACUGGAAAUACAUGUGUAAUGUUUCAUAACAAAUCUGGCCUGUAACGAAACUGGAAAAUAAAGAACUCUCAGGGCAUUUCUUAUAUGUGUAAAUGAUGGUUUCUGCUGUGCAGGCAAAUACUCAUAGUGAACCUUUUUCUAGAGAAAACUUUUGAUUUGUUCAUGUCCAAAUAAAAAUGUUUUCUUAAAACACAUAUAUGACUUUUAGAUGACUUUUCUGUGAGCAUGUUCCAUCACUGAAUUGCUAAGUCUGUCAUGCCUAUUGUACUGAUUUUGCUAAAUACCACAGCUAGACUGUCGUAUGAAUGAAACACUGGGUGCAAAAUCACAGGUUAGAUUUCAACAGUGUACAAAUCUGUGAUGCUGCACUUCAGUUUUCUCUUGACAAAGUUGUGUGCGUUUGUUGUAAAAUCUAACAAUAAUUACCAAUCUAAGAACACAAUAUCUUUUUAACCAGUCAGAAAGUGAAAAAAAUUUUUUGGGUCUUUUGUUAGAAAGGUGACAAGAUUACUAGGAAAGAUUUACACUGUCACAGUCUUAUGUCAAAGAUGGAGUCUAACAAUUUAUAAGAAAAUGCCAGUGUUAACUUUUUAUCCAGAGUCCAUCUUAACCCUUUAAGACCCACCAUUGUGCAAGUCCGCCAGGACAUAUUUUUACAUUUUUACAUGCUGUAGUGCCAUUUUUUGGAGUAUUUUUAUUUGCUUUACAUCAAAAUAACCCUGAUAUCCC
ensembl:lncRNA